CGUUCGUGCGUCCAUUUCGGCUAAUUGCUUUGUGUUUUUUGUUGUUGCUGUUGUUGUCCUCGUUAACGUUGUCUUUGCUGUUCGCUGGAAUUUGAAUUAAGCACAGCUAAGGAUGUCUGAUGCUGUUCAACAAGAUACUUAACCGCGAAGACAAAGACGACUGCCAGCUGAAGAAGAAGAAGAA